rnacentral:sRNA from 1 species
GCUAGGAGCGGUGGCCCAUGCCUGCAAUCCCAUCUACUAGGGAGGCUGAGGCAGGAGGAUCACAGUUUGAGGCCAGCGUCUGCAACUUAGUGAGAUCCUGUCUCAA